rnacentral:RNase_P_RNA from 1 species
AGUGGAUCAGACAGUCGCGGCGGCAAGGCGAAAGCCUGCCGAUGAGGAAAGUCCGGGCUCCACAGGGCAAGGAUAACGGGUAACGCCCGCCGAAGGCGACUUCAGGAAAAGUGCAACAGAGAUAUACCGCCUCUUUCGAGGUAAGGGUGGAAAGGUGAGGUAAGAGCUCACCCAUCGGCUGGGAACAGUCCGAUGCUGUAAACUCUAUCCGGAGCAACACCGGUAUGGGGACGAUGGCUGGCCCGGCCGUCCCCGGGGUGGCUUGAGCGUGCCGGCAACGGUACGCCUAGAUAGAUGACUGUCAAGACAGAACCCGGCUUACAGAUCGGCUCG